rnacentral:rRNA from 1 species
UGGGGAAGUAUUGGGCAAUGGGCGGAAAGCCUGACCCAGCGACGCCGCGUGAGGGAAGAAGAUCUUCGGAUUGUAAACCUUAAGUCAACAGGGAAGAAGAAAGUGACGGUACCUGUGGAGGAAGCCACGGCUAACUACGUGCCAGCAGCCGCGGUAAUACGUAGGUGGCGAGCGUUAUCCGGAAUUACUGGGUGUAAAGGGUGUGUAGGCGGGCUUGCAAGUCAGAUGUGAAAACUAUGGGCUUAACCCAUAGCCUGCAUUUGAAACUGUAGGUCUUGAGAGUGGGAGAGGUAAAUGGAAUUCCCGAUGUAGCGGUGGAAA